rnacentral:rRNA from 1 species
UACGUAGGGGGCAAGCGUUGUCCGGAUUUAUUGGGCGUAAAGAGCGUGCAGGCGGCCAGGUAGGUCUGCUGUGAAAACUCGAGGCUUAACCUCGAGCUGUCGGCGGAAACCAUCUGGCUAGAGUCCGGAAGAGGAGAAUGGAAUUCCCGGUGUAGCGGUGAAGUGCGCAGAUAUCGGGAAGAACACCCGUGGCGAAGGCGGUUCUCUGGGACGGUACUGACGCUGAGACGCGAAAGCGUGGGGAGCGAACAGG